rnacentral:rRNA from 1 species
UUUGAAUGCUGGCGGCAGGCUUAACACAUGCAAGUCGAGCGGGGGAAGGUAGCUUGCUACUGGACCUAGCGGCGGACGGGUGAGUAAUGCUUAGGAAUCUGCCUAUUAGUGGGGGACAACAUCUCGAAAGGGAUGCUAAUACCGCAUACGUCCUACGGGAGAAAGCAGGGGAUCUUCGGACCUUGCGCUAAUAGAUGAGCCUAAGUCGGAUUAGCUAGUUGGUGGGGUAAAGGCCUACCAAGGCGACGAUCUGUAGCGGGUCUGAGAGGAUGAUCCGCCACACUGGGACUGGGACACGGCCCAGACUCCUACGGGAGGCAGCAGUGGGGAAUAUUGGACAAUGGGGGGAACCCUGAUCCAGCCAUGCCGCGUGUGUGAAGAAGGCCUUAUGGUUGUAAAGCACUUUAAGCGAGGAGGAGGCUACUCUAGUUAAUACCUAGGGAUAGUGGACGUUACUCGCAGAAUAAGCACCGGCUAACUCUGUGCCAGCAGCCGCGGUAA